UACGGGGGAUGCAAGCGUUAUCCGGAAUUAUUGGGCGUAAAGCGCCUGUAGGUGGUUUACUAAGUCUGUUGUUAAAGACUAGGGCUUAACCCUAGAGCAGCAAUGGAAACUAAUAAACUUGAGUAUGGCAGGGGUAGAGGGAAUUUCUAGUGUAGCGGUGAAAUGCGUAGAUAUUAGAAAGAACACCAGUGGCGAAAGCGCUCUACUGGGCCAUUUCUGACACUCAGAGGCGAAAGCUAGGGGAGCAAAAGGGAUUAGAUACCCCUGUAGUCCUAGCCGUAAACGAUGGAUACUAGAUGUUGUGAUACCAGUAUCGUAGCUAACGCGUUAAGUAUCCCGCCUGGGGAGUACGCUCGCAAGGGUG
rnacentral:rRNA from 1 species